UUGGGGCAUCAGUGGCAGGCAUUGAUGUGGCACUCAUCACUGUAAGGUAAAGGUCCCGAGUUUGAAACCACUCCUGAGAGGACUGGAAUUUCAUUGUAUGGAAUAUAUAUAUAUAUAUUAUGCAGGGUGUGUGACCAAGACCUGAGGGGUUAAAUUCCUGGGUAGACUCGUACCCCAUCCUUAAAAGGUCCAGGACUUGGUUGGUUCACGUGUAUUGCAUAAAUAUCUUGGACUUGUUCACAAACCCCAAGAUUUUGGACCAUUUAAUCUCGGUGAGUAUUUGGUGAUGUCCUCUCCUUCAAAGAUUUCAAAUCUAGACCUAGCAUACACUCUGCAAGGUAGUGCCUGUAUGGAAAUUAGUAGUAGUUAAUGAUUGUCACAACUUGCUUCCUAUUGGAAAGAAACGAUCUAAACCGUAGAUCCAAGAGUCAAAGCAAGCAAUUCUCAAGGUUUACUUGGUUCAAAGCUUUAAAAAGGUCUGUAUGUAUGUAGUGUCAAUCUGUAAGUUAUUCUCAAAUGAUUCGAUAAGGAAAGCCAAUUAAAAUGUAUUAAGCAAUAUGCAAAUAAAAGCUAAAUUAUAAUAAAUACUUAUAGCUGUCUUUUUCUCAUUUGAUUAGCAUACAAUUGAACUUGGAUCUUUGAGCUGGACAGUUAUUUUUCCUUUAACUCUAUUGAAAAUUAUUUAAGUAUGGUAUUAAGCCAGUGAAACAGUGUAACUUGCAUAUGUGUACAUUGCUACUUGAAACAAGGCGAAAAACUGUUCAUGCCUGAAAUAUCAUAAAUCAAGAAAAACUCUGGCUUGCUGAGGACAAUGGCAGAAAAUCAGUUUAUGGUACUCGACGUCCCUGUACGAGGCGCAGAACCAGUCCAGCUGCCCUUACGACCUCAAGUACAACUUCAACCAGUUCAGAGUGCCGAGUUACAUCGAGGUCGUGAAAUGCCAUUCUGCGGGUGAUCAUUGUGUUUUCAACGAGGAGAAGGUGUCGACCUGCAUGGAGCUGACUUCGGUCAUCAGCGUCACGUACCCCAACUCCGGGCUCACCAGGAACGAGACCUUCCCCGUCGCUUGUGCCUGUGUCAUCAGACCUGCCAAAAGGGCCACCCUCGUUUCAAUAAAUAUCGUCGAGUAGUGAAUCCACGAUGCAAUAGAGACAGUAACGCUGACAUUUUCCUUCUUCUUGCACUUCCUACAUCACGACCUACCAACAACGAUGCCUUCCUGCUUACAGAUCUGUUAUUUCUUAUAAAUAGAUCACAGCAAAUACAGUUGACAGAAAUCAAUUUUACAAGA